UACGUAGGGUGCGAGCGUUGUCCGGAAUUAUUGGGCGUAAAGGGCUCGUAGGCGGUUUGUCGCGUCGGGAGUGAAAACACCGGGCUUAACUCGGUGCUUGCUUUCGAUACGGGCAGACUAGAGGCAUGCAGGGGAGAACGGAAUUCCUGGUGUAGCGGUGAAAUGCGCAGAUAUCAGGAGGAACACCGGUGGCGAAGGCGGUUCUCUGGGCCGGUCCUGACGCUGAGACGCGAAGGCGUGGGGAGCGAACGGG
rnacentral:rRNA from 1 species